GCCAAAGUGGCGGAAUUGGUAGACGCGCACGAUUCAAAAUCGUGUUCCUCACGGAGUGUGGGUUCGAUCCCCACCUUUGGUA
rnacentral:tRNA from 1 species